rnacentral:rRNA from 1 species
GACGAACGCUGGCGGCGUGCCUAACACAUGCGAGUCGAACGGAAAGGCCCUGCUCUUGCGGGGCGCUCGAGUGGCGAACGGGUGAGUAACACGCGUGUAACCUCCCCCUGAAUUUGGGAUAACUUCAGGAAACUGGGGCUCAUAUCGGGUAGGAGCUCCUGCUGCACGGUGGGGGAUGGAAAGUUUCGGCGGUUCUGGAUGGACUCGCAGCUUAUCAGCUUGUUGGUGAGGUAGUGGCUUACCAAGGCUUUGACGGAUAGCCGGCCUUGGAGGGGGACCGGCCACAUUGGGACUAAGGGACGGCGCAGACGCCUACGGGAGGCAGCAGGGGAGAGUAUUACACAAUGGGCGGGAGCCUGAGACAGCGACGCCGCGUGCGGGAUGACGGCCUUCGAGUUGUAAACCGCUUUCGCCUGUGACGAAGCGUGAGUGACGGUAAUGGGUAAGAAAGCACCGGCUAACUACGUG